rnacentral:rRNA from 1 species
AUAGGGAAUCUUCCGCAAUGGACGAAAGUCUGACGGAGCAACGCCGCGUGAGUGAUGAAGGUUUUCGGAUCGUAAAGCUCUGUUGUUAGGGAAGAACAAGUGCCGUUCAAAUAGGGCGGCACCUUGACGGUACCUAACCAGAAAGCCACGGCUAACUACGUGCCAGCAGCCGCGGUAAUACGUAGGUGGCAAGCGUUGUCCGGAAUUAUUGGGCGUAAAGGGCUCGCAGGCGGUUUCUUAAGUCUGAUGUGAAAGCCCCCGGCUCAACCGGGGAGGGUCAUUGGAAACUGGGGAACUUGAGUGCAGAAGAGGAGAGUGGAAUUCCACGUGUAGCGGUGAAAUGCGUAGAGAUGUGGAGGAACACCAGUGGCGAAGGCGACUCUCUGGUCUGUAACUGACGCUGAGGAGCGAAAGCGUGGGGAGCGAACAGGAUUAGAUACCCUGGUAGUCCACGCCGUAAACGAUGAGUGCUAAGUGUUAGGGGGUUUCCGCCCCUUAGUGCUGCAGCUAACGCAUUAAGCACUCCGCCUGGGGAGUACGGUCGCAAGACUGAAACUCA